rnacentral:tRNA from 1 species
GGGCGGUUAGCUCAGUGGGAGAGCACUUCCCUGACACGGAAGGGGUCACAAGUUCAAAUCUUGUACCGCCCACCA